AAAUCUCCAAAAAUUAAAUUCCAGCCCUCAAACCCCACAACAGGACUUAAUUAACCUCACCUUCAAGGUGAACAAUAAUAGAGUAGCAGCAGCCAAGUAGCAACAUAUUUCUGUGUUGCAAUUCCUUGCCUCCACUGUGAGCCAAACCCCAGCCACAUCUCCAGCACACAAGAACUUCCAAACGCCUGACGGCAGCUGCAAGGCGUUCCUCCAGAACCUCCUCCCACAAGAGCUUGCUACAAGUGCAAGAAAUCUGGCCACUGGGUCAAGGAAUGCCCACAGCCCAGGAUUCCUCCCAAGCUGUGUCCCAUCUGUGCCACUGAAAAUCGGACUGUUCAACUCACCUAGCAGCCACUCCCAGAGGCCCUGGAACUCUGGCCCAAGGCUCUCUGACUCCUUCCCAGAUCUUCUCGGCUUAGCAGCUGAAGACUGAGACUGCCCGAUUGCCUCGAAAGCCUACAGGACCAUCACAGACUCUCUGGGUAACUCACAGUGGAAGAUCUUCCUUUGGACAACCGCCUCCUCCCUGCCUUCAUUCCUGUGGUUUGGUGAAGCUGACACUUCUCCCAGCUAUAGGGAGGGGCGUGAGCCACAGGCCAAAGUCAAUCAGUGCAUUCCAUCCACCAGCCCAGAGACUGAAUCAGCAAAGGUCCCAGAGCUCCACUUGGGCCAAUGGCAGUCAGGCCAAGGACUUUGUGGAACUGUUGCUCAGAGGACAGAUUCAGGUCUUGCACAGAAACUGAGCCUUGAUUUUCCGCAGAAUAUACUGUGACCAAGCCUCCUGCAGGGCUGCCUGUACGUUAAAGAAAUGGAAGCGUCUUGAAUCGUGUCCAUCGUCCCUCCUUUACACAAAGUAAUCACCUCCAGCUGGGCCAAGUUGAUUGAGGAAACGUUCAGUUUUCACAUGAUUUUGCUGUAGCACCAUAAUGAAUGUAUUUCUUUGAUGGAAGAAAGAAGCUUCAUGAAAUAAACUGCUUAAGGAUUUGAAGUUGGAGCUGAAAACAUGGGCUGCUUUGUUCUUAAUGACAACUGCUUUGCCAUCUAAAACAUUUCUCCUUUUUGAAGGAUCUGUCUUUUCUCUUCCAGCCACAACCCUCGAGCUACAAUAACAGGCUCAUGAUUUUUUUAGAUGCCAAGGUUAUGAAUACUCUUUUAUGAAUAUUUUCCUUUGAACUCAUUUCUCUUGAAGAAGAAAAAUAGCCCUACAUAUUGCAGGAUUGACAAUAACAGACAAAACGUACAAAUUGUUCUCUUAGGGGCAGUAAAAUGCUCCAAAAUGCACAUAGAAAAAUUCCAAAUGCAACCUGAUGUUUAUGGAGCACUGCCUUUGCAGCUAUAAUUUUUAGAAAGUAAUAUUUCUGACUGACAUGAAUUAUACAGAGCAUAUUUCAGAGACUAAUAUCAGGUUAAUGCCUUAAAAUGUCUCCGUUUAUGACAUCAUGGCUGCUUUUCCUAUAUCAGUGCAAACUCUUAGUGAGUAGAAUUUGAGGAUAUGUCUUUUCAAAGGAAGAAAACCUUCACUGAAUUAAGCUGCUUAUGGUUUUAUUUUUUCUUUUAUCCCAUUUCAACAUAUCCACCAACCUCCUCUAAAAAUAAUUCAACUAAUGUGAACUCAACAGAUUAUAGUAGAUCUCUUAUUAAUUUCAUUUUGCCUCCAAAGGAGCUUAUCAUUUAGGCUUAUAAUUAUGUAUGCAGUACUGUCGACUAAUGUUUAGGUUCCUCAUUAAAACUUCAUUUCAUUCUGUUUUAAUAUCAUCAGUCUGUUAGACCAUUUAUUUUCUCAUGUUAAAAAAUAUGUGUUUUCCCUGAACUCUUUCCAUAUGUUUUCUCUCAUCCAAAAAAUCCAGAAAACUCAGCUCCCUUUAAUCCUGCUUUGUGGCUUAGAUACUUUAGCCUGGAACCACUCGUGUUGAUUUGUAUAUACCCACACUUACGCAAAAAUAGCCUUCACUACGGCAGAGUAAUCAUUCUGCAUAGAAAUUAUGUGUCUCUGAAGCCUAUGUUGUCAGGUGAAUCGUGGCAGCAAUGACCUAAGAAUGCAUCCCCAGUUUGAAAUGACCUAUAAAAAUUUCAAGAUACAACUAUUGCUUUGCAUUUGGCAUCGGGAAUAUUCUGUAUAGUUCUUUUCAUGUAAAUGGGCAAUAUUCUAGAAUGGUUCCCAAGUAUAAGCUUUAGAGCUAGACUUCUUGGGUACAACUCCCACUAUUACCACUUACUAGUUAUGUAAUAUUGGAAAAUACACUUAACUACUCUGAGCAUCAUAAAGUAAGCUUACUAACA
rnacentral:lncRNA from 10 species